UACGGGGGGAGCAAGCGUUGUUCGGAUUCACUGGGCGUAAAGGGUGCGUAGGCGGUCGGGUAAGUCUGAUGUGAAAUCUCACAGCUUAACUGUGAAACUGCAUUGGAUACUAUUCGGCUUGAGAGUUGGAGGGGGGACUGGAAUUCUUGGUGUAGCAGUGAAAUGCGUAGAUAUCAAGAGGAACACCAGUGGCGAAGGCGAGUCCCUGGACAACUUCUGACGCUGAGGCACGAAAGUGUGGGGAGCGAACAGG
rnacentral:rRNA from 1 species